UCCUUACAUCACGGGAACAGCAGAAAGGAUAUUGAAAAAGGGCUGUAUGACCUGAUGCCUCACAAUAUGCAACUCCUCCGACACAUGGUUACAGGACAAAAGAAAUGGAGAGCUUCAAAACAGUUUCCUGCCAUAUAAAUCCACAUGUUGGAGGAGGGCAUGCUGCUGGUGAAGAGAGAUGAAGAGAGAACUGCUCCAGGCACAGGACCGUGUGUCCCAUGCUGCAUGUGCCUCACAGUGGGCAAAGCAGAAGAUUCUGGCUCUUGAGUGCAACCCUCAAAAAUUAUAACACAUAUGUUAAUAUGACUCUACAGAAAGACUUGGUUUCACUGGACCACAGCUUAAACUAAUGAACUUUGAAUCACAAAAUCUUUGUGCAUCUGCUUAUUUCAUCUCCUUCUUUCAAACCA